rnacentral:misc_RNA from 1 species
GAUGAAGAACGUAGCGAAAUGCGAUAAGUAGUGUGAAUUGCAGAAUUCCGUGAAUCAUCGAAUCUUUGAACGCACAUUGCGCCUUCUGGUAUUCCGGAAGGCAUGCCUGUUCGAGAGUCAUUAACAACCGUUUCGAUCCCUUUCUUUCAGAAAUUACAAAGAGGAAAAGGGUUUGGUUAUGGUGGAGGAGGGAAAGGGAGCGUUUAGCCUGUAAAAAAAGAGGCUGUGUUCCGCCUCCCCCCCAAAAUUGUACAGGCGGUCGUGUGCGCCCACGCAUCGAGGUGUUGUAAAAGCUGCCACGGCACUUUUCACCUGUGCAGUGCGAGAUUGGCCAGCCGGUUUAAAAACCCCUCCAAACAAUCAAAGUUUGACCUCGGAUCAGGUAGGGAUACCCGCUGAACUUAAGCAUAUCAAUAAGCGGAGGA